rnacentral:rRNA from 1 species
GAUGAACGCUGGCGGCGUGCUUAAUACAUGCAAGUCGAACGAAGCGCCUCUCCCGAAGAUAGACCCAGCUUGCUGGGGAUUGAUUCACCUGAGGUGACUGAGUGGCGGACGGGUGAGUAACGCGUGGGUAACCUGCCUUAUACAGGGGGAUAACAGUUGGAAACGACUGCUAAUACCGCAUAAGCGCACAGUACCGCAUGGUACAGUGUGAAAAACUCCGGUGGUAUAAGCUGGACCCGCGUCUGAUUAGCUAGUUGGUGAGGUAACGGCUUACCAAGGCAACGAUCAGUAGCCGACUUGAGAGAGUAAUCGGCCACAUUGGGACUGAGACACGGCCCAAACUCCUACGGGAGGCAGCAGUAGGGAAUAUUGCACAAUGGGGGAAACCCUGAUGCAGCGACGCCGCGUGAAGGAUGAAGUAUUUCGGUAUGUAAACUUCUAUCAGCAAGGAAGAAAAUGACGGUACUUGACUAAGAAGCCCCGGCUAAAUACGUGCCAGCAGCCGCCGCCG